rnacentral:lncRNA from 1 species
UUUGGAUCUACUUCUUGUACUCUUCGUAGGUUUGAGAAUUGAAAUCUCAGGUGAUCUUUAUGAAUAAUUUUCCAGGAAGUAACUUCCAAGACGAUGCCCUCUACCACAUCACAUUUCCAGAUUACAGUGAUCAUCUACCUGUUGCAGAGACACGAAAUUAUAUCUGGUAGAACACAAACGGAAAAGCCUUUGCAAGACAUGUUAGUUAAAUUCUCAUUUGAAGAAAAAAGCUUAUAUUUCUCGGCAUACAUACUACUGAGCUGGUGUUAAGUGAACAAAAUUGAGAUCUCAUGUCCUGGCAAUAAACCAACUCUUG